CCGACGGUGAGAGACGAAGCCCUGGGGCGCAAACGGGAUUAGAUACCCCGGUAGUCCAGGGUGUAAACGCUGCGGGCUUGGUGUUGGGGGUCCUUUGAGGGCGCCCAGUGCCGGAGAGAAGUUGUUAAGCCUGCUGCUUGGGGAGUACGUCCGCAAGGAUGAAACUUAAAGGAAUUGGCGGGGGAGCACCGCAACGGGAGGAGCGUGCGGUUCAAUUGGAUUCAACACCGGACAACUCACCAGGAGCGACGGUUACAUGAAGGCCAGGCUGAUGACCUUGCCUGAUUUUCCGAGAGGUGGUGCAUGGCCGUCGUCAGUUCGUACCGUAAGGCGUUCUCUUAAGUG
rnacentral:rRNA from 1 species